UGCGGCUUAAUUUGACUCAACACGGGGAAACCUACCCGGCCCGGACACGGCGAGGAUUGACAGAUUGAGAGCUCUUUCUCGAUUUCGUGGAUGGUGGUGCAUGGCCGUUCUUAGUUGGUGGAGUGAUUUGUCUGGUUAAUUCCGAUAACGAACGAGACUCUGGCUUGCUAUAUAGUCCGGCCGCCCGUCGCGGCGAGCCGCGUCCGACUUCAUAGAGGGACAAAUGGCUUUAAAGCCAUACGAGAUAGAGCAAUAACAGGUCUGUGAUGCCCUUAGAUGUCCGGGGCCGCACGCGCGCUACACUGGCGCAGGCAGCGGGUAUCGAUCGCCCUCGGCCGACAGGUCCGGGUAAUCCGCUGAGAUUCCGCCGUGCUGGGGACAGGGACUUGUAAUUGUGUCCCUCGAACGAGGAAUUCCAAGUAAACGCGAGUCAUCAGCUCGCAUUGAUUACGUCCCUGCCCUUUGUACACACCGCCCGUCGCUACUACCGAUCGAAUGGCUUAGUGAGGCCAUCGGAUCGUCCGUCUGCCGACGUCCCCGGCUCCGGCCGGUCGUCGAGGCGUGAACGAGAAGGCGGUCAAACUUGAUCAUUUAGAGGAAGUAAAAGUCGUAACAAGGUUUCCGUA
rnacentral:rRNA from 1 species